ACUCAGAAUAACUCAGUUGAUAGAGCAUGAGACUCUAAAUCUUAGAGUCAUGGGUUCGAGACUCACACUGGGCA